GAUGAACGCUAGCUACAGGCUUAACACAUGCAAGUCGAGGGGCAGCAUGGAAGAAGCUUGCUUCUUCUGAUGGCGACCGGCGCACGGGUGCGUAACGCGUAUCAAACCUGCCUCAUACUCGGGGAUAGCCUUGCGAAAGUAAGAUUAAUACCCGAUGUUGUUAUGUCUCCGCAUGGUGAUAUAACCAAAGAUUUAUCGGUAUGAGAUGGUGAUGCGUCCGAUUAGGUAGUAGGCGGGGUAACGGCCCACCUAGCCAUCGAUCGGUAGGGGUUCUGAGAGGAAGGUCCCCCACACUGGAACUGAGACACGGUCCAGACUCCUACGGGAGGCAGCAGUGAGGAAUAUUGGUCAAUGGACGCAAGUCUGAACCAGCCAAGUAGCGUGCAGGAUGACGGCCCUCCGGGUUGUAAACUGCUUUUAGUUGGGAAUAAAAAGAGGGACGUGUCCCUCAUUGUAUGUACCUUCAGAAAAAGGACCGGCUAAUUCCGUGCCAGCAGCCGCGGUAAUACGGAAGGUCCAGGCGUUAUCCGGAUUUAUUGGGUUUAAAGGGAGCGUAGGCGGAUUAUUAAGUCAGUGGUGAAAGACGGUGGCUCAACCAUCGUUAGCCAUUGAAACUGGUAGUCUUGAGUGCAGACAGGGAUGCUGGAACUCGUGGUGUAGCGGUGAAAUGCUUAGAUAUCACGAUGAACUCCGAUCGCGAAGGCAGGUGUCCGGGCUGCAACUGACGCUGAUGCUCGAAAGUGUGGGUAUCAAACAGG
rnacentral:rRNA from 1 species